rnacentral:rRNA from 1 species
GCAUGUUCACAUGAUUAAAGGUAUUCCGGUAGACGAUGGGGAUGCGUUCCAUUAGAUAGUAGGCGGGGUAACGGCCCACCUAGUCUUCGAUGGAUAGGGGUUCUGAGAGGAAGGUCCCCCACAUUGGAACUGAGACACGGUCCAAACUCCUACGGGAGGCAGCAGUGAGGAAUAUUGGUCAAUGGGCGAGAGCCUGAACCAGCCAAGUAGCGUGAAGGAUGACUGCCCUAUGGGUUGUAAACUUCUUUUAUAAAGGAAUAAAGUCGGGUAUGCAUACCUGUUUGCAUGUACUUUAUGAAUAAGGAUCGGCUAACUCCGUGCCAGCAGCCGCGGUAAUACGGAGGAUCCGAGCGUUAUCCGGAUUUAUUGGGUUUAAAGGGAGCGUAGAUGGAUGUUUAAGUCAGUUGUGAAAGUUUGCGGCUCAACCGUAAAAUUGCAGUUGAUACUGGAUAUCUUGAGUGCAGUUGAGGCAGGCGGAAUUCGUGGUGUAGCGGUGAAAUGCUUAGAUAUCACGAAGAACUCCGAUUGCGAAGGCAGCCUGCUAAGCUGCAACUGACAUUGAGGCUCGAAAGUGUGGGUAUCAAACAGGAUUAGAUACCCUGGUAGCCCACACGGUAAACGAUGAAUACUCGCUGUUUGCGAUAUACAGCAAGCGGCC